AGCCUCAGUAGUGGUUUACACGUCAAAAUGCAAGUUUGAAGAUGAGCCCUAAAGGGCUCCGGGGCUU
rnacentral:tRNA from 1 species